AGGGGAAACCCUGACGCAGCGACGCCGCGUGAGCGAUGAAGGCCUUAGGGUUGUAAAGCUCUGUUUUAGGGGACGAAUGUCUAGAUCAGUAAUAUGGGUUUAGAAUGACGGUACCCUAAGAGGAAGCCCCGGCUAACUACGUGCCAGCAGCCGCGGUAAUACGGG
rnacentral:rRNA from 1 species